CCUACGGGAGGCAGCAGUGAGGAAUAUUGGUCAAUGGUCGGGAGACUGAACCAGCCAAGCCGCGUGAGGGAUGAAGGUACAGAGUAUCGUAAACCUCUUUUGUCAGGGAACAAAGGCGGGGACGUGUCCCCGGAUGAGUGUACCUGAAGAAAAAGCAUCGGCUAACUCCGGGCCAGCAGCCGCGGUAAUACGGAGGAUGCGAGCGUUAGCCGGCUUUAUGGGGUGUAAAGGGUGCGCAGGCGGCCUGUUAAGUCUGCGGUCAAAGCCCGGGGCUCAACCCCGGCCCGCCGUUGAAACUGGCAGUCUCGAGUUGGAGAGAAGUAUGCGGAAUGCGCGGUGUAGCGGUGAAAUGCAUAGAUAUCGCGCAGAACUCCGAUUGCGAAGGCAGCAUGCCGGUUCCACACUGACGCUGAGGCACGAAAGCGUGGGUAUCGAACAGGAUUAGAUACCCGAGUAGUC
rnacentral:rRNA from 1 species